AAUUUCGUAAGGAAAAAAAUUAGAUAGGAAUGAAUGACAGUUAUCUGCCCUUAAUUUGACAAACAGGAAGUAGUUGUCUAUUCACGUGAUUUAGCGCCAUUUUUGGUGAUCUCGAUAAUAACAUAUUAUGCAGUGUUUCCUCAUUUUAUGCUUCUGAACUGCUUGUAUUUAUUAAUUUUUAAUUGCAAUCACUAGUUUUUAAGGUAUAUAAAAAGAAACAGGGAUAUUCAUAAAUGGCUGAAGCGAAAGUUUUAUUUGAUUAUCAAGCAAACCAGGAUGAUGAAUUAACAAUCAUUGUUGGGGAUAUCAUCAAGAAUGUAGUCAUGUCUGAUGGAGGCUGGUGGGAAGGUGAAAAAAAUGGCCAGAAGGGUCUAUUUCCAGAUAAUUUUGUAGAGGUAUGUUAGAAGAUGGUUUUGCUUAUUUCAAUAACAUUUUCGGCCAUCUUAAGCUUCUACUAAUCUUGUAGCUACUAAAUAUUAUUCAACUGCAUGGUAAUACCUAUUAAAAUCUGACACUGCAUAAAGGGUCCUCUUUAGUCUUAUAGACAAUCUCUCUGGUCCUGUCAGAAGAAAAGCAUCUCUAGUUCUGAAGGUAUGAUAAAAUAUAUCCUAUCCAUACAGUAAAGUGGUCAGAGUUAGAAAGAACAUUCAGCUGUAAAAGCCAUAUCAUAACAAUAAGGAAGACAUGAGCUCUGCAAGCUGCAGUGUAUGCAACACAUCAAAAUAAAAACUAAACAGAGUAGAAGAGACUCUUUAGUUCUGACAAUAACUUCUCUAGCGCUGGUGGCAUGAUAAAAUAUACCCACUCAUCUGUUGUUAAAUGGUUGUAAACAAGAAGGUUAUCCAACCAUGAAAAUAUUCCCUAUUGCAUGAUAUACACAAUACAAAUAACAGAAAGUUUUCUUUGGUAUUGCAUAUCUCAAAGACCACAGGACAAGACAAGACUUGAAACUACAUGUCCAACCUAUGCCAGCAUGGAAAAACAGAUAAUUAACAAUGAUGUCUGUAAAAUUCUAGACUACACAAGAUCACUUAUUAUGUAUAUAGUUUUUAAUUAAAACUUUUAAGACAUGCCAUUAAAGCUGUUUAUCAACUUAUUUCAUAUUUGUUUCUUGGUUUUGAAAUAAGAAAAUAGCUAUAUUAAGACAGAAGAUUAGACUUUGUGCAGCUGCAAAUUGUGUGGAAUUGAGGGCUAGAUUAUUCUUAUUUAUCAGAUUUUAUUUUUAUAUAUGUGUCAUAGUGUAACCAAAAACUAUAUUUUGACAAAAGAAUGUCUGGGUGUGGAUACCUAAUGACACCUGCUGUUUGCAAAACCUAUAAUUAGUGGGGGAAAAAAAAAGUCUCUACUAUAAUUUUACUUCAGUUUCCACUAUAGAUAUCUACUUAUAUUCAUAAUAGACUUAGUCUUUUAUCAUAUUUCUGUUUUACAUGCUUUUAUUCAAAAUUCCUAGAUUUAUAGUUUUUUUUUUUCUUUUAAUGAUAUUUUACAUAUGUUGAAUCAGAAAUCUCAAACUUCUAAGCCUUUAUAAUAUCAGCUUUGCUUUCUUGUUUCACUUAUGAACUAAUGGACUUUGAAACUAUUGCUAUUUAUGUUUUCAGAGUAUUUCUUAGCAUUUGUAAUCGUAGUUUUCUAAGGUUGUAUGUCUGACAGCCCUAGUAUAUUCAGAUUCUGAAAGUCAUGGGUUAGUGGUGUUAAUUUCAAGCAUAUUUAUAUUUUGUUGUUAUUUUGUCAGCUCUGAUUGAACAAAUCUGUAAUCAAGGACAUUCCAGUUGUGACCAUUCAGUUUUUAUUUUCAUGUUUUUCAGUUUUUUUUUACAGAAUGACAAUAGCCAUUCCUGCAUUUGAUGAAGCUUUUCUGGAAGAAAUCUUGUUUAAUUCUGAUUCAGAUGUCAAUUUUGAAGGAUUUACUCAGGCAGAUAUCAAUAGUGAAAUGAUUUGAAGCGAUGGUGAGGACAGAAACUGUGCUUCUAUUGAUCUUGUGAAUGAUGUACCGAGUGGAUACUAUCAUCCAUGGUUGGCUGAUUUUAAGGAAAAUACUAGCCCCCAAGGAGGCACCUGAUGGUAUUUUUAACGGACAACUCUUUCGUCUCUUCUUUAAUGAUGAAAUUAUAACUUAGUUUGCCAAUGAGACAAAUAUAUAUGCCAGUCAGUUGAAGGAGAAGAGAAGGGAAAAUGCUAGCACCUACUCAUAUAUCAACAUGUGGAAGGAUACCACUGUUGAAAAAAUGAAGGCAUCUAUUGCAAUUUUACUUUUGAUGGGACUCACCAAACACUCAUCAUUUGAAUUAUAUUUAUUAGCUGACUGAAGACUUUAUUAAGAUGCUAGACUUCAGAUACAUCAUGGCAGGAGACAGAUGUCUGAGAAUCCUGUCGUUUUACCAUCUUUCAGACAACUCGAUGACAAAACCAAGAAACCACCCUGAGCAUACUUUCAUCCUGGAAAGAAACUUUCAGUGGAUGAAAGUGUGAUUCCUUUCAAAAGAAGAACAAACUUACUAAUAUACAUGCCAGCAAAACCAGCCAAAUGGGGCCUGUAAACCUGGGAACUAGCUGAUACAAAAACUGGGUACAUGUACAAUUGACAGCUGUACUUGCACUGAGAAACAGCCCAGGCACCAAGGGCAGUUGGUGUUGUACCCAAUGAAACCAAAGCAGCAAGACUCUGAGCAGGCAAUCCCCCAUCACAUACAGGGAUGGACACAUUUUGUACAUUUCUUGAUAUGACAAAAGAAAAGUCCUGUGAAUCUUUUGACAACUGCCCACUCUGCUGAGACCUUCAGAAAAGAAGUUUCAAAGCAUUAUGAAGAUCAUACCAGGAUUGUGUACAAACCUUAUGUGGAGGGAGCAGAUAGACAGAGCAGACUAGCAAAUGACAUACUGCAUGAUGCUGCACUACUAAGUGGUGAAAGAAAAUUUUCUUUUACUUUUUUGAAAUAUGUUUCUGCAAUGCCCUCAUCCUCUGGAAAGCCAAGCCAGCUCACUGGGUUAAUGCUCAAAAUUGUACAUUCUCUGCUGGAAGGCUACUAGUCAGGUGUGUCUCACAGGAAAGGUAGGAAAUCAGAAGCCCCUCCCUUAGAGAAGCUGGUGUUAACAGAACACCACCUUAUUAUAAACCUCAAGUGCCUAAAAUCUGGCAGACCUUUGCCCAGAUUGUGCUGUGUGUUCAAACAGAGAGAAAAGGCAUCACCAAAUCCAGUUCAUCAUCAUCAUCAUUAUCAUUUAAUGUUCGUUGUCCAUGUUAGCAUGGGUUGGACAGUUUGACUGGGUUGGCAUGUCGGAAGGCUGUGCCAGGCUCCAGUUUGAUUUGGCAUGGUUUUCUACGGCUGGAUGCCCUUCCUAACACCAACCACUUUGAGAGUGUAAUGGGUGCUUUUACAUGCCACCGGCUUGGGUGCCAGUUGUGUGACACCGGCAUCUGCCAUAACUACUCAGUUUGAUGGGUCUUCUUCUCAAGCACAACAUAAUACCAAAAGUCUUGGUCAUUGCCUCCAUGAGGCCCAACACUCAAAAGGAACUUGGCCACUUUGCCUCCAUGAGGCACAAUGUUCAAAAGGAACUCAGCCACCGCACCUCCAUGAGGCCCAACACUCAAAAGAAAUUCUGCCACUUUACCUCUGUCAGGUUCAGCGUUCAAAGGUUGAUUUCUUUAUGUGCCACCGGCAUGGGUGCACUUGGCUUGACAGGUCCUCUUAAGCAGAGCACAUCACCAAUGGUCUCAGUCACUAGUCAUUGCCUCUGUAAGGUUCAAAGUUCAAAGAUCAUGCUUCACCACCAUCUGCAGAAAAUAUAAUGUGGUACUCUGCCCACACCCCUGCUUCCAUAGUCUGAUAGAUUACAAAGUAGAUUGCACACCGGAACUCCAUAGACAGUCAUCAAGUUAUGUUAAUAGUAUAUCAACACGUUUUUUUGUUUUGUUUUUUUUUUGUAUUUUCAAUGUCAACACAUGCAUACAGAACAAAAUGCAUUACAUCAAAAUAUUACUCACCCAUUACUUUAUAGUAUACACAAAAAUCAUGUCAGUACAUGCAUUAUAAAGAAAGUUAUAAUAAUUUUAAAACUGUAGGUGCUCAUGUUUUUUUGCUCCCUCAAAAAUAAUGCAGUAGCAGGGGAAAAUUCUAGGUGCAAAUCAGUGUGCUAAAAGUUAUAUCUCUCUAUCUGUGUUUUUGUUGAGAUAUUUGUAGACUCACCUAUGCACCUAACUAUCUAGCUAACUAAAUAACUAUUAUAUCUGCAUCCCUUUCUGUAUCUGUCUACUCUCAUAAUACUGAUAAGUAUUUAAGCCAAAUAACAAAAAAAAAAAAAAAAAAAAAAAAAGAAUACUGGUAGUGCCCCAGAAAAGAUGGACAGAGCAAGUACAGUGUCAAAACCAAAGCAGAUAACGUAUGGUUAGGGAAUGAAGAAGUAGUAGAAGAACAAGAACAAGACGUACUUGACCCUCAUCUUUUUCUUUUCUCUCUUCUAUUUCUCCUCCUUCCUUCUCCCUUUUCUUCAUCAUCCUCUUCUCUUUCAACUGCUUUUUAUCCCCUAAUCAUACUUUUAUCUGCUUUGGUAGUGACACUGUACUUGCGCUUUCCAUCUUUUCACAAUCUAUUUACAUUUUUUGUCUUUACUUUUUGUUUCCUCUCAAUAUAAACAAAACACAAAGCCUGGCAGAUGUACAAUGUAGGAAUGCACCUUUGGUGCAGGUGUGAAGUGCCACUCUAAUGUUUAAAAAUGCAAAUAUUUCAUAAACUUUCACUUGGAACUUUUGCGUGAACUGGCAUUGAAGCAGAGUUGGUACAGAAAUAAUUGUAGCUGGUCAUUAACGAUAUGUUAAAAUCUUUCUUUGUUUUCUUAUUUGUAUUAUAUUUUACUCUUUGCUAAACUCACACAACAGUUUUACUAUUGUGAAACCUGGAUUUUCUAAACCCCAACAACCCGAACUACAUAUCCUCUUCCAAACUGCAUCUUUUCUCUUCCUCACUUUUCCUCUUCAUACAUUAUGAUUAUCUCCCUCUCCCUAAUCCUGUCCUCAUUGCCCUGCUCAUUGUAUUGUUGUUAUUCUCACCACCCUCUAUAUACCCAAGUUCUCACCAGUCACAGCAUUCCCCACCCCCAGUCCCUACUCAUGCUUUUCUUGACAAUACCCUGCCACUUAGAUUAUGACCUCCAUACCUUGAGGGUAUGCCCUGACACUUGCCACCAUUGAUCUCUCUCUUCCUUAUUCUACCAUCCCAUCUGUGCUCUGAUCCCUGUUCCUUGUGAGUAUACCCUGGCUCUUUGCCACCAUCUCUCUCCUGCUCUCUCUGCUGUCUUCCACUCUCUCUUUCCCUUGCUCUUUCCUCUGGCUGGGUAACCAUGUAUCUCCUCUACUGCAGCACACCUGUUUCUGCCUUCAUUCUCUCUCUCUCCUCCUCUCUCUCUCCUCCUCUCUCCCUCCCUUCAGGUAACCAUGUACCUCCUCUACAGCAAGACACCUGUUUUUAUCUCUGUCACACUAACCUUUCAUCAUCAGACACAAGAUCACCUUCAAUACCCCCACCACUCUCAAAGAUUCUUUAUCUUAUAAGUCACCUGGUGAUCCUGCCAAUGCUGGUGCCAUGUAAAAAUCAUCCAGUUCACACUGCAAAGUGGUUGCCAUCUGGAAAGGCAUCCAGCCAUAAAAACCAUGCCAAAACUGACAUAGAAGUCUGCUGCAGUCUUCUUCCUGGUCAGCUUCUGUCAGACUAUCCAACUCAUGCCAGCAUGGAAUUUAGAUGUUAAACGAUGAUGAUGAUAAUGACUGACUGGAAUCCAGUAGUGGGUUGAGUGCUACAUAGGAAUACCCAAUCUUUCUCCCCUUCCAGGACCUUUUGUAUUCACACACACACAUAUAUAUGUACACAUAUAUAGAUAUGCAUGUGUUACAGUCAUUAGAGCAUCAGAGUGUCUUGUAGUUUUUAUUUCAGCUCACUGUGCUCUGAGUUCAAAUACAAGCAAAAUAAACUUUGCCUUUCAUCCUUUUAGGGUUGAUGAAUAAAGUAACACUUUUGUUCUGGUUUCAGUUCUUCUCUUUCUCUGUAUCCCCACUCUGUUUCUCACUGUUUUUCGAAGAAACUGACUGAGAUCAAACCUGGAGAGAGAUUAACUCUGCAAGGUCUAAAAAUAUCUAAAACAUGUCAUAAGCCACUAAGGUGCCUCAACAAUUCCAUCAAUAGUUGAGGGUUCAUGGCAUUGUGUGUGUGUGUGUGCACGCGCGCAUGUGCAUGUGUGUUUGUGUGUGUAUAACAUUCUUCAAUGCUACCAUGCACUGGACAGUUUGACAAGCUCUGAUGACCUGGAUAACUCUGUUGAACUUCAUUGUCUACUGAUACACACACACACACAUCAUUUGCUCAUUCAUUUUAUGUCUGCCUAUACUACCAUAGGUUAGGUCGAUACAUAUGUGAAGCAGUAUUUUUAUGGUCUGAUGCUCUUUCUGCCACCUGCUAUUUGUUGUUUUACAAGUAGGGGUGUUUUUAUGAUGGUCAGCUGAAAAGUUCAUAGGCUGACCAAAAUACUCACAUUGAAUGGGAUCAAAUGAGGUUUAUUUUUCAACAUAGUCCCCCUUGCAGUCCAUGCAAAUACAACCAAGAUAAACUUUGCCUUUCAUCCUUUUAGGGUUGAUAAAUAAAGUAACACUCUUGUUCUGGUUUCAAUUCUUUUCUUUCUCUCUCUUCUCCUCUCUGUUUCUCAUUGUUCUUAGAAGAAAUCGGCUGUGAUCAGUGUUUAGAUCCCAUUGGUGAAGCAGCUUUCAUCUUGUUGGUCAAAAAAAGUCAUCAACAGCAGAUAUGACAUUAUCAUCACUGCAAUAUUGGUUCCUUGCCAAGUGUUUUUUUCAUGUUGAAGGACAGGUCAUAGUCAUAUGGGGCCAAAUCUGGAGAACAAGGAAUUUGAUCAACCAGUUCAAGUCACAGUCAUGCAUAGUAGCCAUUGAAAGCAAGGACUUGAGUGCUGUAGCAUUGUUCUUAUGAAACAAGACCCCUUCUUGGGCAUUUGGUCUUGAUUGCUUUUCAUAACUGCCUCAGCAAGUUGGCAUAAUGCUCUCCAUUGGUGGUGUGGCCCUUUUGAAAAUAGUCAAUAAACACAAUGCUUUUUGCAUCCCAAAAAACUGAGACCAUCACUUUUCCUGCUGUUGAAAUGGCAUAAGCCUUGUUUGGGGUCUAAACCCUUUUCCUGCAGAUACUUGAUAACACCACAAUGCCAAAUUUUGUCCAUUUUCAAGAGAAGUUGCUACUACUUACUUUUGAAGUCCUCUUUGAAGUCAGAUGUCAGUUUACCUAGAAAGAAGCAAUGUAGCUAUUAAUAAGAAGAGUUGAAAUUAAUGCAUGUAAAAUUUUGCAGCUCUAGCAUCACUUCUUCAUAAUCAACUUAUGAACUUUUCAGCCUACUCUCGUAUUCCUGGAGUUUUUUGGUCAGAUGAUCUUAAGUGAAAAGUGGUAAUAGCUUGCAUACACACAUACGUGCAUGAUAAGCUUCUGUGCAGUUAGUGUUUAGCAAUUUCAUUUACAUGACAUUGGCCAACUGAAGAAAUGUUUCAGUGGGACUGAACUUAAGGCCACAUGGUUGUAAAGUGCACUUCUUAACCACACAAACAUGCCUGCAUCUUGUGUGUGUGUGUGUAUACAUAUACACAUGUACACUUGUUUAUAUUUAUUUAUGUAUUCCCUUAUGCAUAUAAACUAAAGUUUUAUGUUACAUCAUCAUCAUUCCGUGUUGGAAUGCAUUGGAUAGUCCUAUAAGAUCAGAUGAGUCAGAUAAAUGAAGUGGACUGCAAUAUGUGCUUUGGCAUAAUUGCUACAAUUUGAUGCCCUUCCUAAUGCCAGCCAAUUUAUAGAGUGAACUGGGUGAUUUUCUCAUGACUCUAGUACUAGUAACUCACAAGACAUUAUCUUUGUCAGAGUGGGGUUUCAGUAUUGAAGGAGGUUCCUUUGUGCCAGGUCUUCAGAAGCUGAAGUAUGGUAGAGAGAUGGGAACAGGCAGCUUGUAGAGGAGAUACAUGGCUAACCCAGCAGAAAAGAGAGCAGGGAUAGUGGAGAUGAGGUAUCAGGGUAUCCUGUCAAGAUACAAGAAGGUGGAUAAAGAGAGAAUAGGGAGAGAACAGUAGAUAAACGUGAAAUAAAGAGAUGGUGUGAUGUGGCAGGAGAGAGAAGAUGCAUAGUGACAGAGAUGGAGGCCAGUGGCAUGUAGGGUUGGAUAGAGUGAGAGAUAAAAAGAGAGAUGUUAAUGGUAGAUAUGAGUGGGUGUUUAGGAUAAAGUAGCAUCCAGUGGAAAAUAAAAUGGUAAAGGAUGAUGUUGAGAGUGCAAGAUGGUAGCAAGAGAACUGGUUCCAAGGGGAGGGAUAACUGGCAGCACAUAAGUGGGAAUGGAAUAUGUGCGGUUUUACUCUUACAUAAUUACAGUAACUGAGGGAAUAGUGCCAUAGUUAGAGGGGUAAAGGAUGGAUGGACGUUAUGAAGAUAAUUUGUGAGGAAGGAUUAACAGAUAUAGAUUUGGUGCAGGGGUAUAGAUGUUAACAAUAUGCUUAUAGGGCCAUAUUUUGGCUGAGGUGAAUAGAUCCUUUUGAGUACAGCGAAUUGUCUAUCAUCUUCAUCCUUUGUCAUUUCCAUGAGCUUCAGCAACCUGAAGUCAGUCUUCACUAAUUCGCCCUACAUCUUCUUCUUUCACAAGUUUCAUUUACAUUUUGCAAUGUGAAUAGAAUUUAUUUAUGAAAUUUUCCUCAUCCAUAUACAUCAGUAGUCAUACCAGUAGUCUUCCCUUUUGUACACUACAUCUAAUGCUGCUUAUGCCAAUUUUUCUCUCAGCACAUUUACAUUUUGUUGUACAUACACACUAAUGUUAUACCACCAGUGGAGCAUACUAGCUUCAUUUCUUGCUAGUAUUUGCAUGCCCACUGCAUUCAAGUCCACAUUUCACUAGCAUUACUGUUUGUAUACAAACAUUGUACAAUAUGCCUUUCACCCUGAGAGUGAAGCUUUUGUUACCAACAGAGGUAAUAGCUCUCUGAACUUUCUCCAAUUCUUAUUCUGGUAACUAUACUUUCAGAAAAUUCUCCUCCACUGUUACUUAAGUGACUUAAUGGUCACUUAACAGAAACAAUCAGCUACUGCUAAGGAUCCUCCUGGAUAUUCAUGAAAAUAUAUUUCCUAUGUGUUUAGUGUUUAUUGCACCUGCACAUCUGCCACAAAGAAAGUUUACGUUCUCUGUUAAUCUUACUUUGAUUUCACUGCAAUUCUUGUGUGAUCAAAGUUGCACUGGGUACACAGUAAGAAAUUUCUUCCUACGCCUUUUUUACAUACCAAACAGGGCCAUUUACCUAAAAGGACUAGAGUCCUGUCUGUUUUCCUGCUUACUAGAGUCUUUUCUAGACUGACUUUAAGGCCAUUUGAUUCUGAGUUCUGUUUCCAUACCUGAAAUUUCUUUUCUAAUUCUACUAUAUAUUCAGCUAUGUGAACAAAGUCAUGAACAUAGAAAAAUUUUCAUGGGUAACCAAUCUUAAACCCUUCUGUUAUGGCCGGGAGGACAAUCAGAAAUAAUAGAAGACUGAGACUCAAGCCUUGGUGAACUCUUACUUGCAUGCUCAAUUUGUUGCUGUACUCAUUGCUAGCUAACUCUCACCUGCCAUUCAUCUGCCCCAAGCUUCCACAGUGGUCGCCAGAUCAGGAAGGAGGAACCCUCUCAAAGGCUGUCUCCUAAAGCCAAGUACACUGCUUUACUUUUGGUUGAAUACUUCUGAAGUUGCCUUACUAGGAAGGGAACAUCAGUAGUACUUUUCCUUUGACCUGAUUUGGCAUAUUCAGUGAGGGAGGUGGUGUCGAUGAGGAACAAACAGGUGUUGUAAUGGGGCACUGGGAACAAAUGAUAGAUUUGAAUGGGUGCACAAGGAGAGGAGAGGAAUAAGCUACAGACAUAGACCAGUAAGCCACAUGGUUGCAGACAUGCUUGGAUGAGGCAAAAGGUGGGCUAGUUCAGAUAACAGGUUCAGGCUGGAGGUAGAUGGCUCACAAGAAAGUAGCUGGGGUGUGGAACAAGACUACAGAAAUGCAAUCAACUUGGCAGAUACCAGUGAGAGUGGUUUAAAAUAGAGUAAAAGAUAUCCUUGUUGAAUGAAGAGACAGAUCAUAUAAUGGGAGUGGGACUCAGAGUCAUGGCCACAGUUGGAGAGACAGGAAUUGAGAGUAGGAGAUGACACAUUAAGUGUGAGUGGGUUGAGAUGAAAAAAGUCAGGUAAGGAGUGGAAGUUGGUGGAUAUAUUGAAAGUGUCAGUGAUGAGAGUAUGAUUGAGGUGGUUGAUGGUAGGAGAAAUAACCAGAAAGAGGAAGCCCUCCAAGAAGAUAGAGGUGACUUCAUGGAAAUGGUGAAAGAGGGAGAUGGUACCAAUACAGUCAUCUUUAUAAUGUCUGUAUAGCUCUGGGGUAGCACCAGUAAACUGAGAAAAUUUGGGCUUUGGGUACAGUUGACAAACAGGUUGGUGUAGCGAGGUCCUAUCCUUGUCUCCAUAGUGAUUCCGGUUACCUCAGCUCUGAAAGAGAAACAGUUUAGAAUGAACACUUGUACAGGCAGGCAGAGAAUAUUGGGGGUGAAGAAGUAUCGAAGGGCUAGGAGGCAGUUAAUGUAGAGGAUAUUAGGGUAGAGAGAUUUGAUACCCACAGUGAAGAGAAAACUGGAAGGGUUAGAAAGGAAGGUAAAAGAAUUGAAGAUGGAGGGUGUGGUUGGUGUUAUAGAUGUAAAACAAGAGGGAAGCAACUUGAGAUGAAAGAUACUUGGAUAUUAGUUUGAUGGGGCUGUUACUAGCAGAAAAAUGAGCUAUUAGGUUUAUGAAUUUGGGGAUGGAAAUAGAUGUUGGAUUGGGGAGAACACACAUUGGUAAAUGAGUGUAGUUGUCAUCAUCAUCAUACAUCCAUUUUCCAUGCUUAGAUGGUUUGACUGGAACUGGUAAGCAAGAGAGUUGCAUCAGGUUCCAAUCUGUUUUGGCUUGGUUUCUACUGGUGGAUACCUUUCCUGAUGCCAGCCAUUCCACAGAGUGUACCAGGUUCCUUUUGCAUGUCACCAGCACUGACCACAAUUAUGAUUUCACUGAGCCUGAUGUGUCUUUUCACGCACAGCAAGUCGUCAAAAGUCUCAGUCACUUGUAAUUGCCUCUGUGAGACUCAACAUCUGAAGAUCAUAUUUUACCACCUCAUCCCACAUCUUCCUUUUCCACAGGUUCCCUCCACAGUUAGAGAUCAACACUUCUUUACACAGCUGUCCUCGUCCAUAUGUAUUACGUGGCCAUACCAGCACAGUCUUCUCUCUUGCACACUACAUCUGAUGCCUCUUGUACCUCAUUUUUCUCAUAAAACACUUACAUUCUGUCAUAAGUGCACACUAACAUUGCACAUCCAGCAGAGCAUACUAGCUUCAUUUCUUUCAAGCCAUCACAGUCAUGUUCCACUGCCAUAUGCCGUAUGGAGUUUCUAUCAAAACCUUUUCUACAUAUCAAGCAGGGCCAUCUCCCUGAAGAGAGUUGUGAUUUGUCUCUUCUUACUUACUAAGACUUUGGUUUUUGCUAAAUUGACUCUAAAGCCCUUUGAUUCCAGUCCUUGCUUCCACACCUGAAAUUUCCUCUCUACUCCUGGUAGUGAUUCAGCUGUAAGAACAAGGUCAUCAGCAUAGUGGAGCUCUCAAGGGCAGCUUGUCUUAAAUUCCUUUGUUAUUGCCUGAAGGACUAUGAUGAACAAGACUAGUCUAAGAACUGAUUCCUGGUGAACUCCUGUCUAUACACUAAAUUCAUUGCUAACUUUUACCUUCCUAACAACAUCCCUGUACAUGGCUUGUACAACUCUCACCAGUCACUUAUCUAUUCUUAGCAGUUUAUUUUUGGUUACCUCUCCUGUAGCUGCCUUACCAGGAAUAAAGCCUCUCAUCUAGACUAACUCUCUUCCUAAUUAGUUAAGCUAUUACUCUCUCUCUUUAACUUUCAUUACCUGGUCCAACAAUUUGAUCCCUCUGUUAUUUCUGUCUAAGGUGUCAUCUUUACUUUUGUAGUAGUUGACUAUAAUGCUGAUACACUAGUCAUUGAGGAUGACUUCUUCGUGGACAUCCUGAUUAACUAUAAGGGUGACUAGACCGUAUCCCUCUCUGCCAGAUAUUUUAAGCAUUUCAGCAGUGAUUCCUGAUGGUCUGAGGGCUUUCCCUGUUUUCAUAUCCUAAAUUGCUUUUAUCUACCAAGCUAUUGCCUAUUAGGAUAGCUGAUCCCUCUGUUGGGUUCACAUUUGGGAGACUCUCCUUCUCCCAUGCAUCCCCUAUAUUUAGCAACCUUUCAUAGUGGCACUUCCAAGCCUCCUUCUUUGCAGAAUCACUGACUGCAAGUGAGUCAUCAUCCAUCUUACCACAUAGCGAUUUUCUCUAACAUAAUGUCUUGCAAUCUGAAACACCUCAAACCUCUGGUCCUAAGACCAAUGGACAUUGGCAAACUUCUUCCUUUCUGCUUCUCCUUGGGUUUUCACUUCCCUUCUAGCUACCCGAUAUAGUUUUCUGCUACUACCACUCUUCUUGUUUCUUUGCUUGAAUGGCCGUCAACUACACUAUUCCACCACUAUUUCACCCUUGCUUUCUGAGAGAAUGAAGUUCACCUGGUUAACUUCGCCACCAGAUUGAUAAGUUAUCGAGUGACUGGCAGGUUUCCUGAAAUUGGUAUUGCAGAUCAUUUGGUCAUUUGCAUCACAAAAUUCCAGAGGCCUGUUUUGUAAAACUAGUCAAAGCACACUCUGACUACCUCAUUCAUCUUAUCCACCUAUUUCUUGGCUCGGAGUAUA